UGAUUGAAUUUAAUUAAAUAGCCGCGGUAUCUUGACUGCGUGAAAGUAGCAUAAUAAUUUGCCUCUCAAUUGGUGGCUUGUAUCAAUGGUAUUAUGAGAGUGAGANUGUCUCUCUUAUGUUCUUUUGAAUUUACCUAUUAGGUGAAAAGGCCUAAAUAGCUUUAUAAGACAAGAAGACCCUGUCAAGCUUUACAGCAUUUGAAAAUAUAUAUAACUUUUAUUUUGUUGUUUGAUUGGGGCAAUCGGGGGGCAAGAAAAAUCCCUCCUUUAUUGGUGCCUUCCAGGAANNACCCACAAUUAGUGAUCUAAGGAAAAAGUUACUGCAGGGAUAACAGCGUAAUUUUCUUUAUGAGUUCUUAUUUAAAAGAAAGUUUGCGACCUCGAUGUUGGAUUAAGGUGUCCUGAAGGUGCANAAGCUUUCAAGGGUUGGUUUGUUCAACCAUUANAACC
rnacentral:rRNA from 1 species